GACCGGCUGCCUUGACGACUCGUCGGCAGCGCUGCCCAGGAUAUGCCAGGCGUUGCGCGGCCAGCCAGCGAAGGUUCCUCGACAUUACGCUAUCCGCCGUGUACGACGAGAGGUGUGUGGCAGUGUAGGACACUCGAUUGUUUAGCCUAGUUGCCGAGCUUGUGUGAAAUUCGCUGAGCCGCAGCUGUUCAGUUGCUCAUGACUAUUCGACUGAAGUGGCUGUCGCAACAGCAGCUCGGAUCGCUGUGUGGUGGUGCCCUGCAAGUUGUAGUCUAAGCUCAAGUGGCGGGCGCAGCAAACCAAAAAAAAAAAAAUAAAAUAUAAAAAUAAAAGCAAAAAAAAAGGUGCCAGAAAUGUGUCGCGUACCAUAGCAUACAUCCAGGCGUUGUGCCACAUUUUAACUUCAUACGCCUGCAAUUUGUAGCUGUGCUUAAGUGUAGCCAGAUUCGCAAUGCUAUCAUCACCGUUAUCAACAUCAUUCGCAGCAUUAUCAGCGUCACCAUCAACCUAAUCAUUGCAUUUAACUGAGUCAUCAUAUUACUAAGCAUCCUCUAUGAUCUCGAGUCAAGGCAACGCACAGUUGGGAUAUAUAAAAAUUUGUCUGCCAGCACCACAUCCUGGCAGCGGUUGGUGUGUGUAAGAUCUAAAGAGCGCGCACAACUACACACACACGCAGGAAAAGUCGAAAAGUCGCAUCAACCUCCGAUAACUAGUUCAACCGCACUAUCACCACUGCGCACACUGCCAUCAGCCACUCACAGCCAGCAGCAGCACCGCCAUAACCACCAUCACCACCACCACCUCCAUCGCCACCACAUCUCAGCGCUUCCUCAUUACAUCGCACAGUGCUCGCCUCAAUAUUUUUGCGGGUUUUCUUUCCGCCUUCAGCCACAUUCUCAUGCAUCGGCGAAUUCCGAAAAAACACAAUGCAAAAAUAUACUCUACUGUUGCACACACACACACGUGCUUACGUGCGGCAUGGCUUUUAUUAGUGAUUAGCGUGUUGCGUGUUUUCUUCGUGUUCAAGUGAAAAAAAAAUCCCUUUCGCUCUCGUCUCCCGCCUUCCGCACAAUGGUAUUCCGAGUGCUGACUCCGAACAAUCUUACAUACAAACCGAAAGUCUUGCUCCGUCGGUGUUUUGUUGGCGUUAAAUGCGCUGUCGUGUCAAGUGAAAUUAACUUUAAAUGCAAUUUAAUUGCUCCGUACUCGAAGCUCAAGUCGUAGAAGGGCAUUAGUACUUUACUGCCAGCCGCAAAAGUGUGGCAACGUGUGUGCUUCCCAAUGAAUUUAUGUGUUUGUGGUGACUGUGUGCAUCUAACGGUACAGCUAAAUAUAUGCCUCAAGUCGCUGUGAGGCGUCAGCGAACUUGCGGAUGAAUAAGCCAGAUGCAAAUUCUUUACUGUUGGCACUGUCUAAAGAGACAGACUUCUAAUUUAUGGAUAGAGAAAUACUAAGAUAUGAGAACACAAAUCAGUACCUGUUGAAAAUGGCAGUAAAGUUAGCGCAGUUUGUGCAGCUGAGGACUAAAAAGAGAGCUUACGCUUGCAACACCGCUGACCGCAACAUCAGCACCAUUGUCUUGAAGCGACUGUCACUACGCUUAAUCACCGAAUAAGUAAAACAAGAACGAAUGCGAAAAACCAAAGGGAUAAGAAAUAGCAAUUUAAAAAUGGCGCACGAAAGAGUGGACAUUGUCGACAAGCAAAAUCCGGGCACUGCCAACCCGUGAGGGCGUACCGGGAGCUGGAAAACGGGAAUAUAAUGAGAAGUGAGAGAAAAAGUGGCAAAAACUAGUGAUAAUAUGCAUUGGAUUGAAGGACAGCUGCAACAGUGGCACAGCGCACACUGUGCGGUACAAAAUGAGAAAAUACAUGCAUACAUUUGUACAUUUGUACAUAUGUAUGUAUGUUUGUAUGCAAGAAUACGGUAAAUAAGCACAUCCGUUUAAAUAAAUAUACCGCAUUCAGAGUACGGUUUGUAGUGUCGUGGGGCGGACGGACACUUGCAACACAUCAAGUAAAUUCCGAGAUUGUCAACCAGACACGCCCUGUGGCGAUGCCACCGACACAUGCAACACUGACCGGGAUCACACGAGCACACACAGGAGAACAAGCAGUCAUUUCAACGCCAACAAUGACAGCAACAACAACAACGGUCCACAAAUCAACAGCCCGACAAAAGUGCAGUUGCACAAACACCUACACACACACACACACACACACACUUCUUGGACUUGGGACGGCAGCAAGCAUCCCUGAAAAGAGCGAGAAAGAGGAAAACCGGAAAAUGAGAAAAAUUGAAAAGACACUAAGAAAAAUUAAGCAAAUGGACAGCUAGAAGGCGGGGAUGAGCGCGGAGCGAGCUUUGCUUGCGAUAAAGAAAAAUUAAGUGGAAAAGUGACCGGACAACGAGAAAUAAGUGUCCGGAUGAAAUGAAAACUCCUCACUUGCCGCUAAGUCCGGCACUAAAAAGGAAAGGAAACCGAACAACGGCAGUUUGACCUCAGCACAGACCGCAGGCAGCGUACCGUUAUGCGCAAAGUGUGACACCCUGCCACGCCGCCUCUCUUCGUGUUGCAUUUUGCGGACCCAUUCCUUUGCGUGAAAUUGAAGUUCUGCGAAAAUUUAAUAAAAGUAAAAUGUGGCCGACUUACAAGGUGGAGUACACUCCCGGCGAUGUGUGGGUGUGUUUGUGUUUGUGUGUGUGACUGUGGGAUGGCAUGUGUAUCUGCGCCGUGCAAACACACGACAGACAGGCGAGGUGGGCAUGGCUGCAGAGUCCGGUUGACCGACGCUUAAAGUCAACUCAAUGGAUGACAGGACUUUGCUUGUAAUGCGAUUCAUUUUGCAAUGAUUUUGUGAUUUUCUGACACUUUUGUAGAUGUCCGAGACACAAAGCCAACAAUAGAUGAGCGACAGCAGAAGAGCAACGCUGACUUCAAUAACUACCGGUUACCGGAGCGGAGGCGCACGCAGGCGGGAUUUCUUUAGUUUUGACAGGAAACUUUAGCAGCAAAACCAUCAACAGUGGAAUGGACUGUCAGUGAACCUGCAAUCAGCGUUCUACUCGUUCCGAGCAAAGCCUGUAACGAAGAACUCUUAGAAGAAGAAGAAGAAAUGGAGUCAAAGAAGGCAGUGUGAUAAAAAUGUCAGCAGCUGUGCAUAAGGUAAAGGACACCGACUAAGUUGGAGACAGUGUUCAGCUGCGAGUUUUAGGUAUAUUGGCAAUGAAAAGGGGCAGCUUUGGCAUCGCCAUACGCAACUUCAUUUCUGUUGCAAUAUUUAAUAAGCUAAUACCAAUAAUAAUGUCAGCAAAGCCAGCUGUAUCUGUGUUAAGUCCCAACUUCUGCGCGUUCUCCACACAAUUCGAUUUUUAGCUCU